AACAGACCUCCGUGUACUCAGCAGCUGAAACUGCACAUGCACAACUUUUCACGAAGGCCAUUGAUCUUGAACUUUCGUAGCGUUUCCAUUAACUGAAUCGUUUGUUUUCAUGUAAAUAUGGAUCCUGACUUGAUGCUCCAACCGUCACACGUGGCCUUAUUUUGUGCAUGCAUGGAAGGAAUUGUGCACUAUCUAGAAUAUGAGACUGAACCAGAGACCAUGGCUCCAUUCCUUACGGAUCGAAUAUCUGUCACGGCCUGGCUAGCAGAAGUAGCAAACCCAACCCUUCAUCUAGUCUGAAAGCUUCCUAUUGGAUUCUUGAUUCCAUGAAAAAUACAGCCUUGAAUCCAUACCAUGGCUAUAAGCAGGUUUUUGUUGCGUAUUAUAUAACCCCUGAUAUUUCAGUCAAUCAUCCAUUGUUUGCAAUUUCUACCCACUUUGUCGCUAAAUAUAUUAGUAGAUUAUUACAGAAGGGGAUUCAAUGCCUCGCACUUAUCUUAAUUAGUAAAUAACUGAAAUACAGGGAUGUAUCUUUUUCCCUAGGCUAGGGUCUCUCAUGACAACCAUCGUUUUUAGACAAAAGAAGCCGUAAUCUAAUAAUAAGGAAAGGAGUUGCAAAUAUUGAAAUUUGAACAUCA
rnacentral:lncRNA from 1 species